rnacentral:rRNA from 1 species
AGUGAACGCUGGCGGUAGGCCUAACACAUGCAAGUCGAACGGCAGCACAGUAAGAGCUUGCUCUUACGGGUGGCGAGUGGCGGACGGGUGAGGAAUACAUCGGAAUCUACUUUUUCGUGGGGGAUAACGUAGGGAAACUUACGCUAAUACCGCAUACGACCUACGGGUGAAAGCAGGGGAUCUUCGGACCUUGCGCGAUUGAAUGAGCCGAUGUCGGAUUAGCUAGUUGGCGGGGUAAAGGCCCACCAAGGCGACGAUCCGUAGCUGGUCUGAGAGGAUGACAAGCAACAUGGGAAAUAGGAAACGGCCAGGACCCCUAGGGGGGGAAGAGUUGGGAAUAGUUGAACAUGGGGGGAAGGCUGAACCAGCCAUACCGCGUGGGUGAAGAAGGCCUUCGGGUUGUAAAGCCCUUUUGUUGGGAAAGAAAAGCAGCAGGUUAAUACCCCGCUGUUCUGACGGUACCCAAAGAAUAAGCACCGGCUAACUUCGUG